CAGGGGAGGGGAGAAUUAAGACAGCUUCUAUAAAUUAAAAACCAAGAAGCUUUCCAACAAUCUAAGACAAGAUUCUAGAAGGAGUGGAAUAUAGAGUUCUGUAGGCUAGACUGAGGUGUCUUGCUAAAAUCUGACAAUGGCAGUCUUUUUUCAACCAUGGAGAAAAAUGCAGCCAUGGGACUAAUUUCUGCCACGGGGACAUGAACAGAAGUGACGUGUGUCAUCAUCCAGGCCUGGAUCCCUGAGUCACUGUAUGGAGGAAAACUACCCAUUGACCAAUAACAACUUCAUUGGACUAAAUGUGCUUCUAAACACUAAGAGAACGGGUCAAGGGCAGAGGAUUUCUGUGGGAUCUGUGCUCACUCAUAGUCAUGGUAGAGGAAGCUGAAUCCCAGAGCAAAGGACACCAGGAAGAGGAGAGGGUUUCUCUGGAAACAGCAGGGUAGGUGCAGGCUGACGUGCUUAUUGACAUGGCAACCUGAACACACCUGGAGACACCUGCUCCACCACCCAGAUGGCCAUGAAUGGAGCAAGUUCUUCCCACUGUUGCUCUCUUCUCUUUUCUGCAAAGUUACACAAGGGUCAAGUCCCAUCAAGGGUCCCAUCUCCAUCUUUUCUCAAGAUGAAGCUGGAAGUCAUCUUGCCACUGGGACCCACCCUUUGGAAAGACCUCUGCCCAGACAAGGAAAGUGCUGCCUCAAUUGCAUGAUUUGAGUGACUUUGGGAGGGUAUUCCUGUCCCCAAAUAGACCUCCUCUCCUGACAUGUCACACUGGCCGAAAUUCCACUAUUACAGCUGUUCUUUUCAGGUAAAAAGAAAUGAAACCUCUUUCUAAAUAUAAACA
rnacentral:lncRNA from 1 species